CGAAUCUUACUAUCUGCAACCUUAGGACUAGGCAUACUGCGCAUGCGCGAAAAUUUUGUAAACAUCCUGUAGUUCGAGUUUGUUCAGAUAGAAUCGAGAGUAUGACGGUAGUAUUCCAGGUAGUCACAGUGGACGAAAUGAUGGAAGGCAGUGGAGGCUUCUUUUUGCCUAAUACUGAAAUGGGGUCAUUGCAGGAAAUUCUAUCAGAGGUUGUUACAUGCACCCCUAUCCCAUCAGCUAAAAUUUAAAGUCAGAUAAAC